rnacentral:pre_miRNA from 1 species
GAUUUCAAUUGAAAAGGUCAUCACAACAAAGUUGUAUAACUCAUCAAGAUCUAUAACUUUUAUUUUGGUCAUUUCUUCAUCCAACAAAGUGAUAGUAACAUUGUUUACAAAAUUCACAUAUCUCUCAUUUGGUUUUAUAAACUAUAACACACAGAUAUGUCAAUUUUGUUAGCAAUGUUACUAACACUUUAUCGGAUGAAGAAAUAACAAAUUAAAAGUUAUAGAUCUUGAUAAGUUAUACAACUUUGUCGUUGAUGACUUUCUUAGUUGAAAUC